rnacentral:miRNA from 1 species
UUUUGAGGACAAUGAUGAUGCUUCUCAUGAUGAAAAUGAUCAUCUUCAUCAUUAUCAUCAUUAUCAUCAUCAUCUUCAGAA